UUGCCUGAUGCAAUUUGUGUUCUACUCUUCUAUUAAAGAACAUGACUAUAUCACUAUCAUGAUACAUAUAAAAAAUGAGAAGGUUUGCUUUAGGGCUGCUGACUUUUUGGCUGAGGUUAUGUGGAAGUAUAUUUCAUGUUAAACAC